GCCUUUAGAGGCAGGACUGGGAUAAUACAAAUCCAAGAGGAAUAAAUUUUUUCCUAAUUUUAGAGUGAGCUUUGAGAAAAUGCAAACCAACAAUGUAAUGAGUGCUGAUUGUCUAAAAUAUGAUUGAUACUCAGAACCUUGUGCAAGCUUUAUAACAAAGACUGUCACUUGGCUAGCAUUGGUGGUAGCUUUAAGCUAUAGUCCUGGUUGGUCUGGUAUGUCAUGCUGUGUUCCAAGCAGCAAAGCUUGCUACAGGGAGUAAUGACAUGAUGGAGAGGAAGGCGACUAGGGACAGAAAUGAAAAGGAGAGCAGGUUGCUGGAACUAAUGAGUAAUCAAGUGGUAUUAGAUUUUUCAUGCGAGCUCAUUCAACUACGAGCGUUGAACAGCAAGGAAAUCUGUUUCAGAUUAGAUGUCCCUGCCAGCCAGUCUGAACUCCAUCCCUUGUCAAAGAAAUAGGAUAUGAAUUUUGCACAGCAACAUUAAGGAGUAUUGUUACUACAGAGUCAUUGACUUUCUGUAACACAUUUUUGUUUUAAUAUUGCUGUCUGAAGGCAUUGAUGGCUAACAAGAAAAAAAAACGGGUCUCUAGAAAUGGAUUAAAGUAAUACAUGUAUUUGAACUAUGCAGAGGUCCUCUUUGUUCACUAUGAGCACAGUUAUUUGUCCAGGUGACUUAAAAAAGUAACAAAACCACCCUAAUCCGUCCUCACCAAAAUAUUCAAAAAAACAGAGUUUCCUCUGAAAAACAGUAUGGUGAAAAGUGUCUCCCUUCCAUUUCUAAAUUAGAUUUAUCCUGUGUGUGAAAUCAGCUACAUCCACAGUUCUGUCAUUGACCAUAAGGUACUAUGGGAGCAGCUUCACCAUCUGUGAAGACAGGAGAUGGCCUUCAUAUGCAGCAGAUGAUAACCAAAACCAGGGAAGCACCUCAAAGGAAAGAAGGGCUGGCCUGCCAUCAUGGAAGGACACAAGAAGAGGCCCUAAGAUGUUUACCAUUUCCAUACACAGAAUUUGUACGUCGCACACACAGAAUUGGCAAAGCUCUUUUUGCUUUUUCACAAAUCCCAGCUGAAAUGUACAGGAUCAUAUCCAGAACAAUAAGGAGGAGGAGCCAAGGUUUACCCGUGCACGUUAUCCAACAUACUAGUGGAGGAAGAGCAGGUAGCAAGAAAUCAUGACAGAAGCUGUGAUGUGGUUCAGGAAAGAUGACCACAUGUGGGUCUGUUUAUGUUGUUCUGCUGAGUACUAGAA
rnacentral:lncRNA from 1 species